UUUGCAGUAACAGGUGUGAACAUUC
rnacentral:miRNA from 1 species